UAAAACAUUGUUUAAGUAAUAAAUCUGUAAUUUAUGAUAUUUAAUAAUUAUGUAUAAUUUCAUUUGUUAUUAGGUUUACGGCAGAUUCUACUUCAUUUGUUUUAAAUUGUGUUCAUCAGAACAGUUCAACAUUUGAAAAUGAUACGAAUAUCAUGAACAAUAUUGCUAAAAAUGAAGUGCCUUACAAAACGAAGAUUUGGAGAAGUCAUAAAUGGAUGACUGAUAAUUAUACUUUGUUUUAUAUAGUAUCAAUGCUAUUUCAUAUUUUUCCAGCUGUGCUAAUAGAUUUGGCUUUAAAAUGCUUUGGACGUCAACCAAUGUUACUACAACUUUAAAGAAGACUAUAUGCGGCCAACCUUGCGCUGUUCCACUUUUGCUCUAAUGACUGGAUAUUCGGCAAUACAAAUAAGUCACUUCUAAUAUCAACAAUAUCGCCUGAAGAUCAGGAUGCGUUUUCUUUUGACUAUUCCAAUUGCAAUAUUAGAGAGUAUUACAAGAAUUGUGUAAUUGAUAGCAAAAAAUAUAUUCUUCACGAGAAAAUGGACAUAAAUCAAUUACAUGAACUCAUUCUACGUAAUAAAAGGUAUAAGUUUUAAAAGAGAAAGUGACACUUGUAAGUAUAGUCACUCGUAAUAUCUUUUUUAUUAGAUGUCUACAGAUUAUCCAGCAAACACCAAACUACAAUUAAAUAAAUGUUAGUUAUAAUUUUCCACUCAACAUCGUAAUUAUUAUAUUACGACCCAUGUAACAAAAUGUCCGUUUAAUAAUCACAGUGCGCACAUACAAAUACUCGCACGCGUGUGACUCUCAUAACGCACGCAGAUGUGUCUUCAUUUAUGAUUAAAAAAAUUUUUUUAAUUAAUAAUAAUUAAUAAUAAAUAAUAAUUAAAAAAAAACUUUUUCAUAUUGUUAUAAAGUACUCUACGAGCCAUUCAACUUUCAUUCAGAACAUUUCUUUCUAUCUCUUAUGCCUUCGACGAUAUUCACUUGGAAAGAAAAAAAAAAGAUUUUUUUCAUAAUAAUGUUUAACCCCCUAAAACUGAAUUUAAGCACAAACAAAAAAUAUUUUUGUGUUACGGAUAAACUCCUCUAUAUAUACACAGAAUUUCAAAAUUUUUUGAAUUUCUUAUUCCUUGUAAUAAUUGUAUGACCUUAUUCUAAACAAGAAUAAUAUUUGUGUUAAAGACAAAUGAUGGGUUUUAAGGCGAUGCUGGAUUGACGGUGAAACUCACUUGACGUUGGUAUUUCAGAUUAUUGCAGAUUUUUCUUCUACGAACUAGGGUCGCGCGUGAGGCAAAGAGUAAGAGGAAUAGGCUAGCGCUCUUUGUCAAACGCACUCAUCUUGUUUUUUUGACUUUAGCGCCUCUAAUGCAGGAUUUCUGAACUACCAUAAAAGCAAUUUAUGCUCUUUGCAUCAAUAUAUGUGAAAUUUACAUAAACAAAUUUUAUUCAGGCUUUUCUUUUAUACUAGAACUUCUAGGAUCAUUCUGCAAGCGUCGUAUUGUUCUUUUAUUUUUUCUACUUGCCGUAAACUACUUAUUUUAUACAUACCAAGUCUAAAACUUUUAUAUGGGGCACAUGU